UGGGGAAUAUUGGACAAUGGGCGGAAGCCUGAUCCAGCAACGCCGCGUGAGGGAUGACGGCCUUCGGGUUGUAAACCUCUUUCACCGAUGACGAAGCGCAAGUGACGGUAGUCGGAGAAGAAGCACCGGCCAACUACGUGCCAGCAGCCGCGGUAAUACGUAGGGUGCGAGCGUUGUCCGGAAUUAUUGGGCGUAAAGGGCUCGUAGGCGGUUUGUCGCGUCGGGAGUGAAAACCCAGGGCUUAACCCUGGGCUGGCUUCCGAUACGGGCAGACUAGAGGUAUGCAGGGGAGAACGGAAUUCCUGGUGUAGCGGUGAAAUGCGCAGAUAUCAGGAGGAACACCGGUGGCGAAGGCGGUUCUCUGGGCAUUACCUGACGCUGAGGAGCGAAAGUGUGGGGAGCGAACAGG
rnacentral:rRNA from 1 species